rnacentral:rRNA from 1 species
AGGGUUUGAUCAUGGCUCAGGACGAACGCUGGCGGUGCGCCUUAUGCAUGCAAGUCGAGCGAAGCUUUUCAGUAGUUUACUACAGAAAAUGACUGAGCGGCGAACGGGUGAGUAACGCGUGAGCAAUCUACCUUAGUUACAGGGAUAGCCCGAGGAAACUCGGAUUAAUACCUGAUAUUCUUUAUUUCUCGCAUGAGAAUAAAAGGAAAGGUCAGCCGAACUAAGAUGAGCUCGCGUUCUAUCAGCUUGUUGGUGAGGUAAAAGCUUACCAAGGCUACGACGGAUAGCUGGUCUGAGAGGACGAUCAGCCACACUGGGACUGAGACACGGCCCAGACUCCUACGGGAGGCUGCAGCAGGGAAUAUUGUGCAAUGAACGAAAGUUUGACACAGCGACACCGCGUGUGGGAUGACGGAUCUAGGUUUGUAAACCACUUUCAGGAGGGAAGAAAAUGACGGUACCUCCACAAGAAGCCCCGGCCAACUACGUGCCAGCCGCCGCGGUAAUAC